GCAAAUACUAAAUCAUUAACAUAUGUUAAAAUUUUAUUUACAACUAUAUAUUAUUUUUUGUUUAUUUUGAAACAAAAAUCAAUAUAUUAUCUAAAAAUGAUUAAAUACAAAAUAUAAUAGUACAUAACUAACAUUUAGUUCAUGUAUUAUUUACAAAAUAUGUUAUUACAAAAAUUGAAAUUUUAAUAAAUAAUUAAAGAUAUUAAUAAACCCUAUAUUAGACUAUCAUAUAGGUUGAUACCAUUUGUAUACAAAAAAAUAUUGCAUUUUUUUUGGUAAAUGUAAGAUUCAGAUCCAGAAAACACAAGCAAUUCUACCAACCUAAAUAUAAUAACCUUUAUUUAUUAAAGCCAUAAAUAAUAGAAUAAUUUUAAAAUAAAAAUUCUAAAAAUCAGAAUAUAAUUAAUUUAAAAAUAAAUUCUGUUAAAUUUUGAAAAUUAAAGUUGGAUCAAUAUCUAUUAUCUGGUAAAAAUAAAAUAUAUAUAAUUAAUGUUUAUAUUAUUUGAUUACAUUUUACGUAGUAGAUCAGAUCAUCUUAUUAUAUAAAAUACAGUUUACUCUCUUCUGAGAUAUGCCUUGUGGGAUUCCAUGUCAUCAAUUAGGUGCAGAAGAGCGCGACACGUGUCCACUUAAACUAAACGCUGAGUUUCAUUUAUUCUGGUGUCUAUUCCGUUUGGGCUUUAGUGUGUAUUCGGGUUUAAUGAAACCCAACCCGAAUAAAGAGUAACUCCAGUUGUUAUGGAAACGCGUUGUUUCUGAUUUAGGGUUCAACACGUUCUUCAUCUCUCCCAUUCGAGAGCUAAUCUCGACCUAAGGUUUCCAUGGCGUUGUUUCAUCUUCUUCCUAACAAUCCGAUGAGCUAUCAGUUACAGAUUCAUCCUCUUAAAUCGACCACCCACGAUCUACCUGUUCUUUCAUCUUCUUCCUAACAAUCCGAGAAGCUAUACAGAUUCAUCCUCUUAAAUCCACGAUCCACGAUCCACCUUGAAUGCGAUCUUCACGCAAGGCCGUGGAACCUCGACUAUAAAAAGACCGGACGCGUACGGCACAGUAGGAGGAGGAAAGCGGUAGCGACGGAGGAGAGGAGGAUCAAGGCAAUGAGGGACCAGCCAUGUCCGGUUUGAAUCCGGUUGUUAUUUGUUCAUUGUCUUCCCAUUUACAAGCGACUGGGUUCUAUGUUUUACUUAAAACUCUCGGGUUCACUUAAAACUUCAUUAUUCAGCUCCAUGUGCCUGUCAAGUUCUUUCUUUUGUUUAAGGCGGACACCGCCGAAGGUGCAGAGAUGUAUAAGGUCAUCAAAGAGACUACUAAUCACCGCAGGGUGAAGUUCACAGAUUUAUAAUGUGGUCUGGUGGGUGCUCUGUAGAAUUGUGUUGUCUCAGCUGUAGUUUAGCUGCUUGGUGGAGCUUCUUUGGGUGUGAUAAAGCUGUGAGAUCUAGAAGAAACAAAGAGUUAGUUGAUAAAUUUCGUGCGCUCCUUUUGAAGAGUUGUUGCUCCUUAUUGUCAAAUGUGGAUUAUGGUGCGUUGGUUAAAGCUUUUGUUGUAAGCUUGCAAACCGCUAUUGCAACUAAACUAUAGAGGAUAUGAAAUAUGGCCAGGACGAGCAACAAAAUGUUAAGUUGGUGCAAUCCUUUCAAAGUUAAAAGUGGCUCAUAUCCAUUUAGACACGGUAACAUGGAGAGAGUAGCUUUUGAAGGAACACGGAUCAUGAUAACGUAUGUUUCUCCAAAUGUGAUUUAAUGAGGAAAUGAAUCCCAUAAUCGAUUACCAAUUAUAUUAAUUUUUUGAAAACCCAAAUCAAGCUUUGACAAAAUAACAAUCGUCACCUACUAGCUUUGAUUUUCUCUAAGGCCUUAAGAUGGCAAUUUUUCUGCUU